UAUGUAGGCAGCAAGCGUUGUUCGGAAUUACUGGGCGUAAAGAGUGUGUAGGCGGUGCUCUAAGUUUGGUGUGAAAUCUCCCGGCUCAACUGGGAGGGUGCGCCGAAAACUGGAAUGCUUGAACAUGGGAGAGGAAAGCGGAAUUCCUGGUGUAGCGGUGAAAUGCGUAGAUAUCAGGAGGAACACCUGCGGUGUAGACGGCUUUCUGGACCAUUGUUGACGCUGAGACACGAAAGCGUGGGUAGCAAACAGG
rnacentral:rRNA from 1 species